rnacentral:lncRNA from 1 species
AUCCCAGGACCCUGGGAUCAUGCCCUGAGCCUAAGGCAGACGCUCAACUGCUGAGCCAUCCAGGUGUCCUGGGUAUCUAACUCGAUCUCAGCUCAGGUCUUAAUCUCAGGGUCAUGAGCUCAAGUCCAGUGUUGGGCUCCAUGUUGGGCAUGGAGCCUACUUAAAAACAAUAAUUAAUUAAUUAAAAAUUGGAAUUAAUCUGAAGUAGAUAGGUUGUUAUAAAUUAAGAUGUUAAUUGUAAUUCCCAGUGCAAUUAUUAAGAAAAUAAUUCAAAGAAAGAGCAAGAGAAUUAAAAUUGGGACUAGAAAAUACAUAGUUAGGGGUGCCUGAGUGGCUCAGUUGGUUGUGCAUCUAACUCAGUUUUGGCUUGGGUCAUGACCUUGGAGUCAUAGGAUUGAGCCCUGCAUUGGGCUCCAUGCCGGGCAUGGAGUCUGCUUCAGAUUCUUUUCCCCUCUCUCUCCCCCUCCUCUCAUCACUCACAUGCACACACACUCUCUCUAAAAUGAAUAAAUAAAAUCUUAAAAAAAAAAAAGAAAAUAUAGUUAAUGAUCCCCAAAUUUUAAAAGGGCAAAUAAUGAUAUUUGUUUUCUAUAUGUCUUAUGUCUUUUUUCUUCUUACAUUUAAAAAUAAACCAAUAUACCUCUGAGUUCCAUUCCCUGUUCUGCUUUGAUUGCCCACAUUUGCAAAGAUUUUGGUGCAUAUACAAUAAACCUUUAAAUAGUACUUUGGUAAUUCAUUGAUUUUACUUCUGUUAUUUACGAUUUUUUUUUUUUUAGAUUUUAUUUAUUUAUUCAUGAGAGACACACAGAGAGAGGCAGAGACAAAGGCAGAGGGAGAAGCAGGCUCUUUGCAGGGAACCUGAUGUGGGACUCGAUCCCUGGACCUCGGUAUCAUGCCCUGUGCCGAAGGCAGAUGUUCAACCACUGAGCUACCCAGGAGUUCCUAUUUAUGAACUUUUGGCAAAAUGCUUAUUUGGAUAUUUUAAAUUAAAGAAAAUAUUCAUUUUACCUAUUUCUAACUUGAUUGGCAAAUUUGGGAGGAAAACUUGGCAUGCUCGUCCCCUUGGUAGUAAGCUAUCUGUAAAGAACACAGAAUUUGUCCAGCUCCUCCAGGGGCAGGCCCUCCUUGAGGAUAUGGUUUUUAGGGGCAUUUUUGGCUGAAUCUUGGUUCAAGUCUUAUCCUCUAAUCUGGCCUCUGUCAGCUAUCAGGUUCUCUCCCAUCCACUUUCACUGAGGUCAUAGGAAACCUCAGGUAGCUGUCUCGUGUAAUAGCAAUCUGUUUUUCGAUCUUGGAAUGAUUUAGUAGAUCUAGGAUACGAGAAUCAAAACUAUAUUAUCAGUAUUUUUGUGUUAAGAAUUGGUAUAUUUCAUUGAAUGUUGGAGAGGAUUUCGCUUAUUAGAGUACAGCUUCAUAAAUCCAAUCUAAAGUGUGUAAUUGAGUAAUUGAAUUAGGCUUAAUUUUCAGUUGACAUCUUCCUAGGUUUUGUGUAGAAUUGGAACUUUCAACAGGUUCAUCUUAUUAUUAUAAGUUUAAUUUAACAGUUGUCUAAGCAGGGGCACCUGGGUGGAUCAGUGGUUGGGCAUCUGCCUUUGGCUCUGGUCAUGAUCCCGGAGUCCUGGGAUCGAGUCCUACAUCGGGCUUCCCGCAGGCAACCUGCUUCUCCCUCUGCCUGUGUCUCUGCCUCUCUCUGUGUCUCUCAUGAAGACAUAAAUAAAAUCUUUAAGAAAAAAAAAUCAGUUGUUUAAGUACUCAGCAAACACUGAAGGAGAGGUAUGAAAACUUGAUGGUUAAAUAUAUACCUACAUUGUUAAACUGUUAGAAAUAAUACUUUUUUGCAACUUGUGGAAGAACUAGGUUUUUAAACUUUUUUUUUUAAGAUUUUAUUUAUUCACGACAGACACACACACACACACACACACACACAAACAGAAAGGCAGAGACAGAGGCAGAGGGAGAAGCAGGCUCCAUGCAGGGAGCCCAAUGUGGGACUUGAUCCCAGGACUUCGGAACCACGCCCUGAGCCAAAGUCAGACACUCAACUGCUGAGCCACCCAGGCGUCCCUAGGUUUUUUAAUUUUGUAAAUCAAAUAAAUUGAACAUUAAUUUAUAAAAUGCAUAUUGAUAUAUGAUUAGUCUUUUCUGCAACAAAAAGUGCCCUCAAGGAUACCAAAAACUUUGUGUCAGCAACAUGCAUGGUCUUCUUGCUAGGCUGCUAGAGAAGUCUCCCAGUCGUUAAGCCUCCUAGAGUAUAAGUAGUCUAGAAAAACCCUAAACCACACAGCAAAGGUGCAUGUGCACCACUUACACAUGUCCACUCAAAACCAGGACACUGGCUGGGAGAGUGGCUAUUCACAGUGCCUGGUUACUUUCUGCUUAGGGUAAUGACUCGGUUAAAAUGCUGUUGUGGAAUUUCCUGGGGUCAAAGGCCAGUGAAAGCGGUGAAGGUCAUGCACAAAGGGAGAUGUGUCCCAGGCUGAUGAAACAUCAUCUACAAGGGGCCUGAAAGCGGUUCAGCAGGAUCGUGAAACAGAUGAAGGACUGAAGCAGGGAAAUGCUUCCCGUUAGCCUGGAAGGCUGACCUAAAGCCUGGAUUGUUUUGAUAAACAUCAAAUACGUGCUGGUUGCUACAGUGAUUAAGGGUCUCGUGACUGCCUAUAUAUCUCACCUAUACUUAAUGUCAGACUGAAUGAUAAGCAGCAGAGGAAUCUUGCAAACGUAGUUUUACAAGUAGAAAUUCAAGGACUCUUGAAAUCUGACACUCCCUGCAUACCCGCUUUCUUUUUGAUUACUAGGUCUGUAACAACCAGCCUCACAGCAAAAAGUGCUGCUCUUUCUGCCCGUGGGUCCUGCGCCUGUGCUUAGAUAAACUAAGUUGCACCAUGAACGUCUCAAGAACGCUUUCUUGACCGAUGCACUUGACAACCCCGCAUAAUUUUGCAGGGCGGGGUACAGGGACCGGGCAAAAAGAAUUCAAGAGCUUCAGUGCAGCUCAGUAAGUCUUCUUGACACUCCCACCCUCCUCUGUCUUUCCUACGUGUUCUUUUUCAGAGAUGUCCUGAAUAGCACGACCCUUCAGAAUGUGCCUUGUCUGAGUGUUCAGCAGAGCACCUCUAGCCUGUGGCUACACCGCAGGGAAGGACAAAUUCCUGCCACUGGGCUGGUUGCUAGUGCCUUGGCCGUAAUGGCAUAGGGCUCAGAGAUCAGGCUCUUCCUGUUUUACCUGUUCUUUGAAUACUUGUAUUCUUCUCAGGCACUGGACAG